GCGAAAGCCUACCUGUUUCUUGUUGGCCGAUGUACCAGGCUACCUGGCCUUGCAUUGCUUCCAGUUUUCCUUUCAUAUCAUCACCAUUUAUAAAACAGGUGAAUACGCGUUUUUUGGUUGUCAUUUUAGUAGUAAUGACGGGUGUCGUAUCUCACAAGAUGCACUGUAGGAUGGGUACACUUUGGACACACGUCAAGGAGUUUUACUUUGCUUAUCCAAUACGGUUAUAGCUGAUAUUUGUAUUUGCGCGCGUAAUUACACUUUGAACACACGAUUUUUUUGGAGUAGACGAAAUAAUUUCUCGGCGGUGUGACGUUCAUUAUUAAACUGAAAUGUUAUUGUGUGUUCCGGAUGUUUUAUUAAUAGCAUUAUCAACGGAUAUUCUUAUCUAUUUCCUGUCCCCCGCGCCUUCGGCACGUACGCCUCCCUGCCGGUGACGUUUGCGUCACUUGGUUGGCACCACGGACCACGGUUAGGUUGGCACCACGGUUUGGUUAAUUUGGCACCACGGACAACGAUCGGGGGCUACGCCCCCGCGCGGGCGGUGGGCCCCCGAACGGCACGCGGGCGAACGGCGCGCGUGACAUCUAGCAGCAACGGGACGGAACCGACGGUACAUAAUUAGCUCGGCAUUAAAGUGACCGUUCAACGACGGACGGGUUUUCACGGCAGCCCCCCCGAGAUGGCGAGGGGGCUACCGGUGGGGUCCCCGAACGGCACGCGGGCGAACGGACAAAGACAACGGUUUGGUUGGCACUACUGACCACUGUUUGGUAAGGUUAGGGAGAGUGACCUAUGGACGAAUGGCCAGAACACAAAAAGAAGAAGACCAUGGGCGUUGUGACCGUGGUCGGGAAGCCAAAAAGUGAGGUUAUGUGGGCCUGGAUGUCCCUUUAUUCAUCUACAUGCAAGGCCAGGUAGGCAAUGGUAAUCGCGCAUAAAGUCGAGAUACGUAGAAUAGAGCUCUGGGUUUCGAGAAAGACGGUUUUCCAGCGACAACAAGCUAAGAUUCUGGGUGUUUAAAGGGUAGGGAUGCGAUAAAUCUACCACUCUUGUUCCUGCGGGUCGUAUUUGCGAAAAUAGUCUCACACCUUUCGUCCUCCGGGGAAGCGGGAUGCUUAGUCGUUUCUAAAGCAGAUGGAUGACCGGACGCACCUGGGAUGCGUCCAGCGAGUAGGAUUUGACCAGUUAAUCGCCAAUUACAAGAUCUACAACACCGGGAAUAUGGUAAUUGCGGUCAGCCAACUCCAGAUUUUUUAAAUUUUCUCUGCCAGCGUUAUUGGAUUGCAGGUCUGUCAGUACAUAGCUGUGGUACGACAAUGGCAUCGAACGAAAGUAGAGGAGUUGCUUGAUUUUGUGAUUUAAUGGUGCAUCAAGUUAAUCCUUUUGAAGUUUGACUGGUCAUGCCUUUUAGGCCGUGAAUGGGCACAGUGUAAAACUUCAACCUGCGUAAACACGUCGUAGUGCGACGACACCCCCAAAGCCUCACAAAAAGAAAGAAAAAGCGAAGAAACGGUUCAGCAGCAGCAGCAGCAGCAUACCGGCUCAUCCUCCUCCUCCUCCGGUUGGUUCGAUACGUUUAUCGACGACGAAGAAAGAAGGGUGGUAUGCGAAGCGUUCCAGUUGAAAAUGGUUUUAGAGUCGCAGCUGGUACGAAACGAGGACCAGAUCAAAGAGACUGAAACUAAAAUUGCCCUGCUGCAGAGCGAGUUACAAGUGGCGCGCCUUCAUUCCGACGAAUGCAGAAAAAAACUUAAACAUUUUGCAAGUUUAGCAUCCUCUCUGCCCGCAUCAA